AGACGCAAGUGAGGCACGCGUGCGUCAGUGUUCGAUGGUCCAAGUGCCGUCUCGGCGAUUGGAAAAAACGGCCGUCAAACUUUUUUUUUUUCUUGCGCGAACCUUGAAGACCGAGCAUCUCGAUUGGACCAGUUGUGAGACGUGAGAUACUCCGUUUUAUGGCAUCCUCAGGGCCGAACAGCGAUGGCCGAUAGCCCGCGGCUUCCCACUUCGUUUGCACCGUUCGCUCUUUCGGAGCAGAUUCGAGUUAUGGGCUCGCGCUUUGGAAGAUAGAGGAGGAAAUGGCGAGAAGUGUAGAAAGUGUAGCUCGAAAGAAACAGAUUCCUACGACAGACCUCUUCUUUGAUUUACAUUUUAAAAGGUCUACUUAAAGGCCCGAAUACGUAGACGCAAUUUGAGGACCAACGGACCUCCGAUAAUUUCCUCGUUGGUGAUAGUUCGAAGUGGCAGAUCACACUGGCACGCGCAUGACACGCGGGGUUUGAACAUGGGCAUACCUAUAGGUCAUAUAACGUCUAGGACAAUUAGAAUUUUUGUGACUGACGGUCGUUGGCACAGCUCAGCUUCGGUUGUGUUUCGAAUUUGCCGAGCUAAGGAAACACUGGUCGCUCCGCUUCUCGCUCAUCCUGACUCGAUUGUACGCCGAUACGAGGUGCAUUUAACAUUCUGAUCCUCGAGUACUCCCGUUCAAUUUUGCGUUAAUUGCAAGCGAUAAGAACAAAUGGAUAUCAGGUUAUCCUGACAGGUCUUUCUCGCAAAAGACUCGGGGAGACUCUCCCAGAAGAGGCUGGUACGCUUCGAAACUAAUAUGGUGCAAUGCAAAACUGACCUGAAAAUGCCCGACUUCGAGGAGCAGACCGAACGGGUCAGGGCAAGCAGCUUUUCCGGAUUGUCAUCCGAAAGAUCGGUUCAUCAGUCCGAAAUGGAGACAUUUCAUAGUUUAAUCAGACGUGAACAGACGGACAGGAAUGCCUGAACAUUUCUAUAAAGUAUUUUAUAAUUAUAGAAAUGUCCAGGCAUUCCUGCCUGUCUAUGUAAAGUGAUUGCAAUAACCUGAAUAGCCAUUCCAAGGAUUUCGGGAUACGAAGAACACAAUCUAUCCGCUUGCUCGGGAAUAGCUGUUUAAAGGGAUUAAGCAUUCGUGCUUGUGUUACUGUCUUUAAUAUACGCAAAUUUGAUCUUACUAUUUUUGGGUAACAAAAACGUUCUCAAAGACAGCAAUGACUUUGCAAAUGCCGUUGUAGAGUUAAAAGGGAAGAUACAUAGUUAAAAUUAUACGAUAAACGUACUGGGUGGAUAUUUUCAGCUUGACACACCUCGAAGAUAUUAAUCUCCUCAUAAUUAUAUACAGUGAUAGUCAUAAAAAAGAAUUCCCCGAGGAAGUACGCUGUUUCGUCAGUAUUUUCCGCCGAUUAAGUAUGAACUCAAUUUUCUUAUAUCCGAAUCUAGUCAUGGUGGAAAACCUGAGGCAACGCGAUUUGGCGGACGUCGUAAACUUAUUAAAAAUACAUUAAGACAUACGUAAGAAUGGGCCCAUGACCGCGACUGUUCUAAAUUUCGAGCUAAUAGACAAUUGGUCGCGAAAAAUAAAUAGAUGGAAUAAAGUGAAUCUUGAAAUGAACAUAGAAUAAAUGUGAUCAAGAAAGUUUUCACUGAUGAAUGUAUCGAUAUCACAAUUUUUUCUUAUUAUCCUUUGAACGAGGAUGUCUUGGAAAUGUACUUUACAGAUACGAUGAGAGAGAGAGAGAGAGAGAGAGGGGGGGGGAGAGAGAAAGAGCAGAAUAUAACUCACAAUCAGUAGUAGCGACGUGGAUCUUUUUAAACAGAGUCUGCAGAACAGUGCCAUCGGUUGUAAAGCAGUCUAUGACGAGAAAGUGCGUAGACUAAAAUUAUCUAUGAUACAUAAAGACUAGUGAAAUUAUUUUAUUUCCCGACUGAAUUAAUAAAUACUGCAUCUUUUCUUUGUGUACGUAA